rnacentral:rRNA from 1 species
CUACGGGGCGCACCAGUGAGGAAUAUUGCACAAUGGGCGCAAGCCUGAUGCAGCCAUGCCGCGUGUAUGAAGAAGGCCUUCGGGUUGUAAAGUACUUUCAGCGGGGAGGAAGGGAGUAAAGUUAAUACCUUUGCUCAUUGACGUUACCCGCAGAAGAAGCACCGGCUAACUCCGUGCCAGCAGCCGCGGUAAUACGGAGGGUGCAAGCGUUAAUCGGAAUUACUGGGCGUAAAGCGCACGCAGGCGGUUUGUUAAGUCAGAUGUGAAAUCCCCGGGCUCAACCUGGGAACUGCAUCUGAUACUGGCAAGCUUGAGUCUCGUAGAGGGGGGUAGAAUUCCAGGUGUAGCGGUCAAAUGCGUAGAGAUCUGGAGGAAUACCGGUGGCGAAGGCGGCCCCCUGGACGAAGACUGACGCUCAGGUGCGAAAGCGUGGGGAGCAAACAGGAUUAGAUACCCGUAGUC